GUGGAGUGCGAACGGGUCUGGGGACUUGUUCUGAUUGGUCGUUGGAAGCAAAGAAGCUGGGCGGAGACGUCACUGUGGACUGCGGGACGCAGGAAGGAGAGUAUACAGUACAAUCUGCUUUCUAGAAACGUCGAAAAGUCUCACAUCGUGCAUUAUAAUUGGAACAUCACUACAUCCAAGUGAAUGACAAAAAUUCAGUGGUGCAGAGGAUGGUUUGGUUGAGAUGGUCAUCAAGGGUUCCCAGCCCUGCUCUGUUGUGGAGAACAUUGGGUUCCGGGAUCUCAUUGCUGCUUUGAACCCUAGCUAUGUUCUUCCUACCAAACAGGUUUUGAAAGCUAUGGUGGAAGAGCGGAAGUCAGAGUCCAAGGAGAGAGCCAAGAGUUGGUGUCAAAUGCGUAAGACAUGUGGACAUCAAUUAAAGAACAUGACAGCGCUGCGUGUUUGGAAAUAUUCUGAAUGACGUGACAACACCGCGGCGAGAUCGACGUGUGUCGCAACCCUUUCUACAAGGGUCCUCUACAUCGCGUCGUCAAGUGAGCUGUCAAACUCUCCGAGUGCGGAAGGAUGCGCACCUGAUGUAUCGUAUCAAAACAACUUUUGAAGUACAAUUGCAGUCCGCCGAGCCACUGCAAAAUGGAGCCCGUUCAAGAACAAGAGAGUAUACGGGUUUUGACCUCAUAUCAGCAAACAAAUGCAUUUUUAUUUAUUUAUUUUUUUUACUAUUUCAGGUAAAACUUCACAUUUGCAUCACACAGGUGAAGUCGUCUGAAGGCCAAACCGUUUUCCUGAAUAAUUUUUGAUAUGCAUUGCAGCCAAUGUACCGGCCAAAAUACAAUUAUUUUCAUUAUAGUUGUCCAAUAAAAGUAUUUUAAAAUCAUAUCGGAUAAUAGCAA